rnacentral:lncRNA from 1 species
AAAUUUUCAAAUUAAUUGUUCACAAAUUAUUGAAUUUUUAAAUCACAAUUAAAUAAUUGAUCACAAAUAACAAAAUUGUUGGUUACAUACCACCACCAACAAAACCAUCACAGCCAGAUCCACUGUCAACAAAAAACACCCCAACGCCAAAACAUAAAAAAACCAUAAACACCACCAAAUGCAGCAAACUACCACCAUCAUUGUUCUCUAGCGGCAGCAUUUCAAACUCUCCAUCGACAGCUAUGCAAUCUCUACAUCGACAGUACAGAUCAGAGAGAAAGUCGCAGCCGCGCGUAGAGACAUCAUUGAUCUUAGACGCUGGCAUUGCAACUUUCCUGCUUUCAGCGAAACGGGCGACAGUACAAUCUCCAGCGAUGGUAGCACUCAAAUCUCAGAUCUCCAGCAAUCUGACAUUUAGCGCUUUAGCCUGAGCGAGUCGUCAAUAGUCACGAAUCCAUGGAGAGCCAUUGUCAUUGUGAGUUUGACGGUGGUCUCCAAUAGUGGGUGCGACGGUUCCAGAGAGCGGGUUAGGUGGAGAGGGUGAGAAGAGAAGAUGGAGAGAAACAGAUUUUAAGGUUUGGAAUUAAAUUGGAUUGGGAUUAGAUAGAAUUAGAUAUAUUAUUAUUAGUUAAAC